UAAAUUCUUUUUAUCUAUGUA
rnacentral:piRNA from 1 species